GUCGUAGGUGAACCUGCGGAAGGAUCAUUGUCGAACCCUGCAUGGCAGAACGACCCGCGAACAAGUUGCGAAACACGAUCAGGACGCCGGGUGCGGAGCGGCAUGGCUGCCAUGUCGCCCCCGUUCCCCGGAUCCAGUAACAAACCCCGGCGCGAGAUGCGCCAAGGAAUCUCACAAGUAAGGAGGGACGAGCCCCCGUUGCGACCCGGGAACGGGAUCUGCGCGGGGGCGCCCGUCCACUUCGUAACCAAAACGACUCUCGGCAACGGAUAUCUCGGCUCUCGCAUCGAUGAAGAACGUAGCGAAAUGCGAUAUUUGGUGUGAAUUGCAGAAUCCCGUGAACCAUCGAGUCUUUGAACGCAAGUUGCGCCCGAAGCCUUCUGGCCGAGGGCACGCCUGCCUGGGUGUCAUGCAUCGUUUCCCCCUACUCCCUCAUGGGAAGAGGGGCGGACAUUGGCCUCCCGUGCGCUCCCGCUCGCGGUUGGCCCAAAAUCGAGUCUGCCUGCGGCUGUAGCCACGACGAGCGGUGGUUGAACAGACCCUCUGACACUGUCGUGCGCCCGAUGCUGCAGGCUUGAAGGACUGGUAGACCCUAUUUCUCACUGUGCGACCCCAGGUCAGGCGGGACUACCCGCUGAGUUUAAGCAUAUCAAUA
rnacentral:rRNA from 1 species